UACGUAGGUGGCAAGCGUUGUCCGGAUUUACUGGGCGUAAAGCGCGCGCAGGCGGACUGAUCAGUCUGGGGUGAAAUCUCCCGGCUCAACUGGGAGCGGUCCCUGGAUACUGUCAGUCUUGAGAGACCUAGAGGAGAGCGGAAUUCCCGGUGUAGUGGUGGAAUGCGUAGAUAUCGGGAAGAACACCAGUGGCGAAAGCGGCUCUCUGGGG
rnacentral:rRNA from 1 species